rnacentral:rRNA from 1 species
UGGAAGUAAAAGUCGUAACAAGGUCUCCGUUGGUGAACCAGCGGAGGGAUCAUUACCGAGUUUACAACUCCCAAACCCAAUGUGAACGUUACCAAACUGUUGCCUCGGCGGGAUCUCUGCCCCGGGUGCGUCGCAGCCCCGGACCAAGGCGCCCGCCGGAGGACCAACCAAAACUCUUUUUGUAUACCCCCUCGCGGGUUUUUUAUAAUCUGAGCCUUCUCGGCGCCUCUCGUAGGCGUUUCGAAAAUGAAUCAAAACUUUCAACAACGGAUCUCUUGGUUCUGGCAUCGAUGAAGAACGCAGCGAAAUGCGAUAAGUAAUGUGAAUUGCAGAAUUCAGUGAAUCAUCGAAUCUUUGAACGCACAUUGCGCCCGCCAGUAUUCUGGCGGGCAUGCCUGUCCGAGCGUCAUUUCAACCCUCGAACCCCUCCGGGGGGUCGGCGUUGGGGAUCGGCCCUCCCUUAGCGGGUGGCCGUCUCCGAAAUACAGUGGCGGUCUCGCCGCAGCCUCUCCUGCGCAGUAGUUUGCACACUCGCAUCGGGAGCGCGGCGCGUCCACAGCCGUUAAACACCCAACUUCUGAAAUGUUGACCUCGGAUCAGGUAGGAAUACCCGCUGAACUUAAGCAUAUCAAUAAGCGGAGGA